CCAAAAAGGGGAAGAAAGUGGACUCUUGGAAAGAUGCAUGGCAGGUCUACUGUGGCCAAUGAUGGCAAACUCCUGGUGUCACUCCAACAAGUAAGAGUUGGUUACUUAACUAUUGAUUGCCUUUUCGUGGAAGCUGCAUUUGAAGAUCUGCAAUUAUAUUAAUUUGACUUUGUUUGGAUGGGUUUCAGUUUCUAUCUACCAAAGGAGGAAACAAAAGUUGUCAUGGCGGCUUUGGAUUGUAAUAUUGUUCAUUAAAGCUUCCACGUAGUUGCGCUGGUUGCCAAAAUGAAGGAUAGUAGACAUGUUUGGGAGGUAUCUGGUUUUUUUACUCGGUUUCUGUUAACUGUUAUAGUAUCCAGUCCAGAUAUUGUAUAUGGAGGAGAACAUGGCUUCCUGUUUUACGUUAUUUACUUAAAAGGCCAAUUGCACUUCGUCCCAGAGUUUUUGGUUCA